CCCAGGUCGCCGAUGCGAUUAUUAAUCAAUAAAGCGAUGGGGCUGGAGCGGAGAGCAGGCUGCAUGCACGCAGCAGGCCAAGGAAGCGGGAAAGAAAGACCCCCGCCCGUCGCUUCCCCUGCAGCUGGACCGGACGGGGAAAAGACCCAGCCCAGGCCGCCCACUCGGACGUAAGCUUCCGGCGUGCGCCUCCGAGCCCGCGCCGCCAGAGGGCGCAGCGCCCGGCCGGUGCGGCGGCGGCGGCGCUGCUGCUGCUUGUGUUUAGUUUUUCCCUGCAGAUGCGUGCCAGGGGUGGGGGCAGAAAAAGUCACAGCGGGCGAGGCGGGUCUCUCGGGGGGAGGCGAGAGGCGGCUGUUGCCGCAGAGGGGCGGCCUUGCCCUGCUCGGCUGGCUGACCCUUUCCCCCUGCUCGCGUGCCUCUUCCUUCCUCCGAGGCUCUUCGGAUUUCCAAGCAGCAUCCUCGGCAGGAGAGCGCAGGCGGAGAGGGACCACGCGCACUCAGAAGCUGCGGACGCGGACCUGCCGGAGAACGGGAAGGAGGCGUGGCUGCCUCAACCCCCGCCUGCGUAUUGGUCAGUUUCAAGCUUCGGGGCGGCGCCUGCAACGCGGGAAAGAUAAGAUUUGCAGAAGUUCCGCGCGCCGCCGGCACUGUCGUCUCCCCCACUGUCAUCGCUUGGUUUUUAGGCUUUGGGGAGCCCGUCCCCCUCGAUUUAACGCGGAUAUAGGACCCCUGAGCAGGAUUUCUUAUGGCAAACAUAGCCAUAAUCACGCAGAGAAUCUCCAUGGUCUCCCCCUUUUCUGUUUCCUUCCUCUCCCUCACGAGACCAGGCUGCAACAUCUAGGCCACUUCAGCCUUGAAAGGCAGCAUUUAAGAGGUGACCUGACUGAAGUAUAUAAAAGCAUGCAUGCAGUGGAAAAGGUGGAUGGAGGAAAACUAUUUUCUCUAUCGCACAACACUAGGAUCAGGGGCCAUUCUAUGAAGCUGAUGGGCAGGAGAGUUAGGACUGACAAGGGGAAAUAUUUUUUUUACCCAAAGGGUCGUCGAUCUAUGGAAUUUACUACCAGAAAAGGUGGUGACAGCAGCCAGCCUGGAUGGCUUUAAGAACGCAUUGGACAGAUUCAUGGAGGUCAGGUGUAUCAAUGGCUGCUGGAAUGGAUGCCUAGGUACUGCCUCCAGGAUGGAGAGACAAGCAGGGUGUCUCUAAAGGCCAUUUGCAGGGAGUUGUGAGCAGAAGGUUUUGCCUUUGUCUUCUGGCUGAGAAUGCCCAGAAGCAAUUGGUGAGCCACUGAGUAUGACAGGAUGCUGGACUAGAUGGGCUGUGGCCUGAUCCAGCAGGGCUCCUCUUAUGUUCUUGUGUCCUUUAAGCCCAUAGCCUUCUUUGGCUUAUUUUAGCCUUUCAAUAUUUGCCUGGCUGGUUCUGAAUUUGUGAAAAACCCUGGCUUGGAUAACAUCUCCCCUUCCAGUUUUAGGCAAUAAACUGUUGAAUCAUUUCCUUUCGUGUCA
rnacentral:lncRNA from 1 species